rnacentral:lncRNA from 1 species
AGACUGAGAAAGUGCCACAGGGCGGGGGCCGCAUCCGCCCCUCGGCUUCUGGUUACUGACCCGACGGCUUUGUGAGUGAAAGUGAAGAGACACUUCGAGGCAGGAGGUCCUGGAACCAAUCCCCUCUGAUACUGAGAGACAACUAUUACACAAGAGAAAUAUUCUACCAUUCACAAAAUCUCGUUUAAGUGUCGUGAAAUACAAACACCAGGGAAUCAAGAACUUUAGAAAAUUGUGGCUGUGUUCCCAUAUGGGGUACAAAGGACCAGUGAGUCCCAUUUGUUGUGGUUCCUGCAUUCAAUGACUCCAGAUGUGCCACCACCGAGCUAGUCUUAUGACAACCUAGAAGGCAAAUUGGGAUGGCCCUAUAUUUGUCACUGAGAGCAGAAGGGUUGAGAACUUAGAUCCUGACAGGAGGCCCACCUUUAUUGGAGAAAUGGCUCUGCAACUUAGGACUAUUACAACUUGUAAAAAUUAGUGAGUUAUACGUGGGAAGCAUUUUGGCCUCACAAUUGAGAAGCAGAGAAGUGGUUCAAGGCUCAUGUAAGACUGCUGGGAUUUGAAAUGUAUCCUAUUAUUUGAAGACC